GGCUGGCAAGACACAGAUGGGCAUGAGUGUAUCACAUGUCUGAAACAAGAUAUGGUCACGCUCUCCUUUGAACGUCUCAACAAGCCUAUGAGGAAUGCAAAGCAGGUGCUGUGUCAUGCUAUUUUACAGAAGAAGAAACUGAGGCUCCAAAGAGGCAGGCUGACUUCAGCCCGUGUGGUUGGUAAGCAGCAGAGGCAGGAUUGGUGCCAGGUCAUCACCCAUUCUAUGCUCCCUCUAUGACUCAAGAAGGCUUUGGAGGACUUUCAGGAUGUAUUCAGAGCCUCUUGCCCUGCUCUGUGAACUAGAAUAUUGUCAGAUCAGCCUCAAGUACAGAAUAGCUUCCCACAGUCCGAAACUCACUGGUGAUAUUUUUCAGAGCAAGGCCAACAAGCCCCCUGCUGCUCUUUGGAGAGAACAAGUCAACAAGCUAAAGGUGGCUGACCCUUGUGGACCAAUACCAAGGACAUUGUGGUUCUAACACACCCUGGCAGCUUUUCAUUCUCAACAUCAUCCUGUGUUCUAUAUAUGGUGGUCUAUGCAAAAAACACAGGGGCCAGAAAUGGGACAUUCAGUAGAGAAGAGGGUCAGGAGCAAGUGGUGCUUUAUGGUUUAUCGAGAUCCAGUAAAUUUUUACUAAGCCAGCAUCUCAUAAAUGUGAAAGGAAAAUAACACAUCAGUUUGACUGUCAGGAUGUGUCCCAGGGAGAUGGAGAAACUGAGGAACAGAGGUGCUGAGUCAUCGGCUGAAGGUUACUAGCUAGGGGAGGCAGGAUGAACGACUGCAAGUACAUGCUGGAGGGGGCCGGAGCCACAGCCACUGUGCCUGCCCUUUCACCACCCAAAAAAGCAGCUCUUGGAACACCAGCCAAGGAAACUGGCUUGCUCUGCUUGGAGAUUAGUCCCAUGUAAUACAAACAGCUGACGGCAGAGACUUUGGAAAACAGGACUGGGAGUGGAGCGGGGUGGGGUGAGUUUUUGAGAACUUGGCUUGUUUUCUUGCUGGUUUUCUUACCAGUCUGCAGGAGUCAUUGAUUUAAUGUCCAGCCUCUGGUCAUGGGGAAUUAAAAUGGUCACAGGGAGAAUAGAAUUAAAAUGCUUGGAAAAUCCAUGGGUCAGGCAAGCCCAUAAUUGUUGGGGGAGAGGAGGGAAAGAACUAAGGUUUAUUGAGCUUUGUGCUGUUUUUCGUAUGUGUCUGUCAUUUAGACUUCACAGGAACCUUAACUUUGGGUGUUCUGUAGACGGUAGUGGGAUUCUCACUUUAUUAAUGAAAUUGACUGCAGUGUUUAAGUAACUGCAAACACUGAAAGCCAAACCCCAAACUCUUCCCCAGCAAACCAUUUUAUUCUAGGAUCUAGCAGUAUUAGCACUGGCUGGUUCAGGGCUCCCUGGACUCAGGAAUAUAGAAGUGAUGGGCCUUGAGGAGCUCCAGGACUUACGGCAUUCAGGGAGCAUGCACUUCUCCACCUGCUCCAGAUCCUCAUUGCAGUCUCCAAGUUCUGCCAGAGACUUGAGCAUCCGCUGUCGGGUUCGCAUGCCCUUCCCGCAGGUCACGCUGCAGUCACUCCACUCGGACCAUGGGGACAGCAAGCAUGGGAUGGUGUCUAGAUCAAGAACCAGGUUUGCCACUGAGAACAGGUUCCUUUUGUUUUGUUUGAUCUCCCUGACCCCACGGUGUUCCACACCGAGUCCCCUGCUUUGGCCCCUGGAAUAAAGUGGAAUUGGCCCAUGGGUUCAAAUAAGAGUGAAAUCUAUGGAGCAAGAAGUGGCUCAGCAGCCUACUGCUCUUCUUGUCACUCUCUUUCAUCUCCCUGCUGACCCCCCCCCCCCCCCCAAUGGUUAUGACAUGAGGGUAGCAAUAUGACUACAUAAGUCCCCACUAGAAAGGCCACUGAGGAUCUUAGGAUCUUAGCAGGGUCUUCCUAGAGACAGAAACAUCCCACACUCAUUAAGAAUCAGGCACUUCAGGAGAGGCUCAGGGAUGCAUUUUUAGACAUUGUGGUCCUGAAUUCCCUAGAAUGUGUAUGUACUUGUGUGCCUGUAUACAUCUGCAUACUAAUGUGUGGGCAGGCCCAUAUGCAUUUGUGCACAGAGCAGGGGAGGUCAUGCUUUAUGGGAUCAGCCAAGUCCAAUGUACAACAGGAGUGGGCUGGACCUGGGUAGUGUAUGUAUGUCCCACCUAAAUGUAUUGUCCCUCCUCCCCACCACUGCAAGAAAGACACUCCUAUAAAACACAGCUGCAGGUGAAUUCUAUCCAGAGGCCACCAGUUUGCCACCCUAGCAUUGCUUAGAAUGUCCCCCAAUGGAGGUUACUCUCUCUGGGUCUGGUUGAUGUCUACACACCUAUGUCUCUCAUCUGGCUCCCAGCAGUGCCCAGCAAGGACCAUGGGCCAUGCUUUCCUCUGCUCAGCCUCCGACCUUUAUGGUGGUAAUAGUGGAUGCCAUGGCCCUCCACCCCUCCAUGCCUGUCCCCGGUGGCCUCCUUCAAGUCCACCCCCGCUCUCACUCACGGCACUCUGGCAUCAUGCACUUCUCUGCCUGUGACGUCUCGGCUUUGCACAUGGAGCCAUCUGCGGGGCUCAUCUUGAUCAUGCGGUGCCGCUUCUUCAUGCCCAUGCCGCAGGUGGCGCUGCACUCGUCCCACUCGCCCCACUCGGUCAUCAGGCAGCUGCUGGGAGCUGGGGAGGCCGGCGGCAUUGGAGUCGCACCUGCUGCCUCCCCGACCUGCUUGCCCGCCCGCCCGCCCGGGGCCCCCACUCACAGCACUCCUCGUUGACCGUGCACUUCUCCGUUUCCUCAGUGGGCAGCGUGCACACGGAGCCGUCCUCCGGGAACUGCUUCACAUACCUCUCCCGGGACCUCAUGCCCAUGCCGCAGGAGAUGCUGCAGGGCGACCAGGUGAUCCACUCGGACAUGGUGCAGGUGGAGCCGUCUGCAACACACCAAGUGAACGCUGCAGCAGUGCACGGUGGCAGGGGCGCCUGCCAGGCCGCGCAGUGGGAACUUCCCGCCAGCGGGAAUCAAGAGGAGUCAGGCAGUUGAGGCUGUCUGCACACCUAAGAGGUCUAAAUCCUUAAACUGGCAAAGUUCUCUAAGUGGAAAUGCCUCUUUUCCAGGUGCAUGGGACACUCAGAAUUACUCUUUAUCUAUCUCAUGAAAAUACAUUUGAAAGAUGCUUGUAUGGAAA